rnacentral:rRNA from 1 species
GUGUCAGCAGCCGCGGUAAUACAGAGGUCCCAAGCGUUGUUCGGAUUUACUGGGCGUAAAGGGAGCGUAGGUGGCAUUCUAAGUCUGAUGUGAAAGCUCUGAGCUUAACUCAGAAAUGGCAUUAGAAACUAGUUUGCUUGAGGAUUGGAGGGGAGAUUGGAAUUCUUGGUGUAGCAGUGAAAUGCGUAGAUAUCAAGAGGAACACCAGUGGCGAAGGCGAAUCUCUGGACAAUUCCUGACACUGAUGCUCGAAAGCUAGGGGAGCAAACGGGAUUAGAUACCCCGGUAGUCC